AUAUUGGUGCGAGACCGAUAGCAAACAAGUACCGUGAGGGAAAGAUGAAAAGAACUUUGAAAAGAGAGUUAAAGAGUACCUGAAACUGCUGAAAGGGAACCGAAUCGUUUCCAGUGUCUAUAAUCCGUGACAUAUUUCAUUGGCGAGUGUGUGCGUGCGUGUGCUGUGGCAGCGGCCUUUUGGCUGCGCUCGGCGUGUGUGCUGUGUGUGCUUGCUGGUGCCCUGUGUUGCGGUGGGACGUCAAGGUCAGUUCGUAUGCUGCGGGAAAUGGCUGCCGAGGAGGUAGGGCUUACGCUUGCGUUUGUCUGUUAUAUCUUGGUGGACGAGUCGUCGUGGUUGGGACUGAGGUGCCUACAACGUGCUUUUGAGUGGGUUUGUGUCUCCGUGUGUGCCGUGUGCGGAUAGCUUGCUAUGUGCGUGUGGUUGCGUGUGGAUUGAUGCGGGCUUUAGCUUGUUGCCGUUCGGGACGUUGACGAAAUGGAGCGAUCCGACCCGUCUUGAAACACGGACC
rnacentral:rRNA from 1 species